AUUAGCUGCGACGAAUGUUCCUUCUGAAGCGAGACGAGUGUAACUUGGUGACACACUACGCCGCGUCGACACUGGAUUAUUGUGCGUAGAUGUAAUUAUUCACACAAUGUAAUCGGAUAAGACAAUGAGACGUUACGACAAUGAGCGUAGUACGAGGUAUGUGUGUAGGAGUGUGAGCGCGCGCGUGUGUAUGUGUGUGUGUGUGUGCAUGUAUAUAUACAGGUGCCUGACGAUACAAAACUCUCGUAUAUGUGUAAAUGAGAUCAAGCUGAACAAAAAGUUCCUCUAUCAUUUUGCGAACAACCACGUAAAAUUUUGAGUUGUCAGCCAAAAGAAGAUUUUAGCGAAUAAUCACUGAUCUUCUUUAACCCUACAGUCAUCGCAUGGGACCUUUAAGAGAAUAUUAUAUCCAAAAUAGUCUUUUCUUAUAUUUUACAUGAACCCCAAAAACCUAAUUAAACAGAGAAAAUAUUUAAGUUCCCAGCAUAAAAGAUAUAAAAUAAUUUUUUAUAUUGGGGUCUCUCAAAAUCCCAGGCGUCGACUCGUGUUCGAAAAGUAGCGCGACGACUGUAAGGUUAAUGAAUAACUGAAAAUUUUCCAUGGCUAUUCGCAAAGUGAUAGGAGAAUCUUUCGUUCAAUUUGAUCUAAUCUACAUGAGAAUUUUAUAUAUUAUCGUCAAACACUCUGUAUGUGUAUGUGUGUGUGUGUGUAUGUGCGGCAAAAUAAGAUAUAAAUAAAACAGCUACAUCUAUAAGUCUAUAAUACUUAUAUAUAAAUAUAUAUAAAUAUGUGUGUGCCCGCACGAGGCGUCUGUUGGAUGGGCGUGUAACUAUAGUCGCAAGCGCCAAACUAACGUACAUCGCAACGCAACGAAAGAGUAUAUCGUCUAAUUCGACUCAAAUGAAUGGGGUCCAUUCAAAGUCGCCCUCGUUGGCUGUUACUACACACAGAGUGUGGCGGUGCGAGAGCUAGCGCUGCAGAGAGUUCCACUGACGAGCCUAUUAAUUAUUCAGAAGGAAAUUGUGUAACGCGCGUAUGCACAGUGAGUACAGAGGCUGGGAAUCCGACAAGGACGUCUUUCAAAUUAAACAGCGAUAUUGACACCCGGCACGCAGUCAUUACGGCGCUCGUCGAGUGCGUAGCCGCCGAGGAGCGCCCGCCAGAGGAAUUUGUUUCCUCGUUAAUGAAUUCUCGCUGACUGAACCGCGGGAUCACGACUACCGGAUAAUCGAACGAGCUGCGAGCAGGCUUCGAAGUAGCCUGGAAAAUCUUCGUCAAUUCUAUUCGUCAAUUUCCGUAUUUUUUCGCAAGAAAUUUCGUACUUUCUUGCUCUCUUUUGAAGGAGAAAGAUCGUAUCGAGAGAAAAAGUAUCUGGAAAUUAAGGAAUAUUUAUUCAAUAGAUAUCUCUCCUCACAGUGUGACUUUUGACUCAUCUUCGAACGACUGUCGGACAGACUGUGCAUUCACUGAGCCAUAGCGAUGAUGCUUGUGAGAAGAUUCAGCGGCUACGGGGGCUGCGUGGUGCGGCGACAGAUAGGCUGUGUGUACGACAAAGGGAUGAAUAAUUGAAAGAAAAUAUCGAAGGAGGAAACAUCAGUGGAGCGCAACAGAUUCCGCCGCAUCCGCGCGAAAUAGCUCAACUCAAAUGAAUCAUACGAGAAGAAAACAUCCACGAUAUAGCAGCAGCUGUUGCAACGUUGAAAAAUCCCCUACUUUCUACUAGUCAACAAUUCGUUGGACGAACGAUUCUUUUCUCUUCUUCCUUUCUCUCCCAUAAUCUCAGUUUUCACAUCUACACUGUGGGAGAGAAAAAAUACCGAAAAAAUAAAGAGACGUUUACUCGGUCGGUACUAAUUACUUAAACUUAAAUCCUCUUUUAUUUUAGAAUCAAUGGUUGCCUUUCUUCAUGGUAAAAACUAUUAGUUCCACGGAAAUGUAUAUUUUCUUAUUUGAAGAAAUUAUUAUGUUGUUGUAUCGAAAUAAAA